AACAGGUGAAUGACACGCUUGAGUGCCGC
rnacentral:sRNA from 1 species